rnacentral:lncRNA from 1 species
CCUUGAGAAAAUGGUAUUAAGCUAAGACCCAAAGAAUAGAUUAAGAUUUCCCAAAGCAGAGUAGCUUCCCUAAGUAGGACCAAGAUAGUCUCAGCAUUCUAAGCUCUCAAGCACUAUGCUCUGUGGCAGAACCAGUCAGACUAAGACAUAUGAGCUCCCCAGGCAGGUAAGACCUCAAACUAUAAGAAUCCAAGAAAAAAAAAGCCUAGAAAAUACCAUUCUGGACAUCAGCCUUGGCCAAAAAAAUUAUGACUAAGCCCUCAAAAGCAAUUGCAACAAAAAGAAAAAUUGACAAGUGGGACCUAAUUAAACCAAGGAGCUUCAGCACAGCAAAAGAAACAAUCAACAGAGUAAAGAGACAACCUACCAAAUGGAAGAAAAUAUUCUCAAAUUGUCAUCUGAAAAUAUCUAAUAGUCAAUCUAUAAGGAACUUAAACAGUUCAACAAGCAAAAAAACAAAUUAUCACAUUAAAAAAUGGGCACAUGACAUUAGCUGACACUUCUCAAAAGAAGACAUGAAAGCUGCCAACAAACAUGAAAAAAUGCUCAGCAUCACUAAUCAAAAGAAAAAUGCAAAUCAAAACCACAAUGAGAUACCAUCUCACACUAAUCAGCAGUUUGAAGAUUCCUCAAGGAACUUAAAACAGAAUUACUAUUUGACCCAGCAAUCCUAUUACUGGAUUUUCCAAAAGAAAACAUAUGAGGAAGGUGUUCAGCCUCCCUAUUGAAGGGCAUGGAUUGUCCUCAUAUAUGUUUCCUUUGCAUUGUGGUUUCCUGCUUCCCGAUUUAAACACAGAUGUUAAAGGAUAAUGUUGGCAGCACUUUGAUUGUGAUAAGGCUCCCCUCCGAGACCCUUGGCAGACAAAUAUCAGUUUCCUUAUCUUAAUAAAAUGAAGGAGUUGAGCUAGGUCUUUAUUCAUAGAUUUUUUUAAUUACACAAGUAAUAUAUAAAUACAUUUUUCCUGUAAACAUAUAGAACAUUACAAAG